ACUUGAUCUGAAAUCAGGCGGGAUUACCCGCUGAACUUAAGCAU
rnacentral:rRNA from 1 species